rnacentral:rRNA from 1 species
UACAGAGGUGGCAAGCGUUGUUCGGAAUUACUGGGCGUAAAGGGCGCGUAGGCGGCCUUGUAAGUCCUGUGUGAAAUCCCCCGGCUCAACUGGGGAACUGCACAGGAGACUGCUUGGCUUGAGUUCGGGAGAGGGAAGCGGAAUUCCGGGUGUAGCGGUGAAAUGCGUAGAUAUUCGGAAGAACACCAGAGGCGAAGGCAACAACUUGGUCUGGUAUCGACGCUCAGGCACGAAAGCAUGGGGAUCAAACAGG